UACAUGGGGUGCAAACGUUGCUCGGAAUUAUUGAGCGUAAAGCGCACGUAGGCGGUUCGUUUAGUCGGAUGUGAAAGCCCUCGGCUCAACUGAGGAAGUGCACCCGAAACUGGCGAGCUUGAGUACGAAAGAGGAUCGCGGAAUUCCUGGUGUAGCGGUGAAAUGCGCAGAUAUCAGGAAGAACACCCGUGGCGAAGGCGGCUCUCUGGGACGGUACUGACGCUGAGACGCGAAAGCGUGGGGAGCGAACAGG
rnacentral:rRNA from 1 species